AUACAUGCAAGUCGAACGAGCUUCCGUUGAAUGACGUGCUUGCACUGAUUUCAACAAUGAAGCGAGUGGCGAACUGGUGAGUAACACGUGGGGAAUCUGCCCAGAAGCAGGGGAUAACACUUGGAAACAGGUGCUAAUACCGUAUAACAACAAAAUCCGCAUGGAUUUUGUUUGAAAGGUGGCUUCGGCUAUCACUUCUGGAUGAUCCCGCGGCGUAUUAGUUAGUUGGUGAGGUAAAGGCCCACCAAGACGAUGAUACGUAGCCGACCUGAGAGGGUAAUCGGCCACAUUGGGACUGAGACACGGCCCAAACUCCUACGGGAGGCAGCAGUAGGGAAUCUUCCACAAUGGACGAAAGUCUGAUGGAGCAAUGCCGCGUGAGUGAAGAAGGGUUUCGGCUCGUAAAACUCUGUUGUUAAAGAAGAACACCUUUGAGAGUAACUGUUCAAGGGUUGACGGUAUUUAACCAGAAAGCCACGGCUAACUACGUGCCAGCAGCCGCGGUAAUACGUAGGUGGCAAGCGUUGUCCGGAUUUAUUGGGCGUAAAGCGAGCGCAGGCGGUUUUUUAAGUCUGAUGUGAAAGCCUUCGGCUUAACCGGAGAAGUGCAUCGGAAACUGGGAGACUUGAGUGCAGAAGAGGACAGUGGAACUCCAUGUGUAGCGGUGGAAUGCGUAGAUAUAUGGAAGAACACC
rnacentral:rRNA from 1 species